GUUCUGGGUAGAGGAAUCCCUGCCUGCAAACACCAGGAUGCAAAGAGCUUGCAUAUGUUGUUUCUUACUAUGUGUCAGGCCCCAUGUGAAGUAUUGGAGUACAGAGUUGAAUAAGCUACAGUCCAGCCCGCAGGGAGCAUACAAUCAAAGUGAAGGGGACCACCAAGGACAGGAGCCCAUCCCAGGAAUGGUUCUUGGCACCUCCUCCAGGACUCUCCCAUUGCUGAUCUCACUGCCCAGCUACUCCAUCUCCCAGACCACCCAGAAUCCUCAUGCCCAACUACAUCAGCAUUAUUCAUCUGGCCCAUUUUCAAAUGCUUGUUUUUUGACAGACCUCCAGAAUUAAUACUUAUGUAACAGUUUUCAGGCCACACUUGGAAAAGCAGUGCCCUCCGGCCUCAGCUUGAAGUCCCUGCAUGUGGCCCUCUCUUGAUAUGCUUUAUGGAAUUCACUGGAAACUUUCUGUCAGUGUUCCUCCAGUUGUCUAGGGAUGCACAGAGGAGUAUUUUUGUGGAGAUGACGUUAGAAUGAAGAGGCCCCUCUGUGUGAUGAUGCCUGCAGGAUGAUUUGGGUGAGGACACCAGCUCUAUUGUCUAAGUAGCUUCAUGACCCUGAACUUCUUACCUGAAUGUGGCCUUCACAUGAAGCUAGAGCAAGGUUCUUAAACUCCAUUGUGCUGCAGCCCGCGCCAAUAGUUCAGGGAAGCCUAUAGAUCUCUUCUCAGAAUGUUUUAAUGUUUGAUGUUUUAAGUGCAGAAAAUAAAGCCCCACAGAAUUUC